rnacentral:rRNA from 1 species
GGCAGCAGUGGGGAAUUCUGGACAAUGGGGGCAACCCUGAUCCAGCCAUGCCGCGUGAGUGAAGAAGGCCUUCGGGUUGUAAAGCUCUUUCAGCCGGAAAGAAAUCGUGCAGAAUAAUACUCUGUAUGGAUGACGGUACCGGAAGAAGAAGCACCGGCUAACUACGUGCCAGCAGCCGCGGUAAUACGUAGGGUGCGAGCGUUGAUCGGAAUUACUGGGCGUAAAGGGUGCGCAGGCGGCUCUGUAAGUCUGACGUGAAAUCCCCGGGCUUAACCUGGGAACUGCGUUGGAAACUGUAGAGCUAGAGUGUAGCAGAGGGGGGUAGAAUUCCACGUGUAGCAGUGAAAUGCGUAGAGAUGUGGAGGAAUACCGAUGGCGAAGGCAGCCCCCUGGGUCAAUACUGACGCUCAUGCACGAAAGCGUGGGGAGCAAAUAGGAUUAGAUACCCUGGUAGUCCACGCUGUAAACGUUGGGCACUAGGUGUGGGGAGCUAUCGACGCUCUCCGUGCCGCAGCUAACGCAUUAAGUGCCCCGCCUGGGGAGUACGGCCGCAAGGUUGAAACUCAAAGGAAUUGACGG